GGUUGUGAGGGCGAUCUGGCUGCAACAUCUGUCACCCCAUUGAUCACCAGGGUUGAUUCAGCUUAUCUGGCUGGCUAGGUGGGUGUCCCCUUCCUCCCUCACUACUCCAUGUGCGUCCCUCCCUAAGCUGCGCACUCAGUAUAAGAGGACGGCCUUCCCCGAAUAGAGAUGGACCAGUCUUGGGUCAAGGAUAUACAAGUAGCUGUGCUCCCCUGCUAGAAACUCCAAACUCUCAAAAAUGAAAAAAAAAAAAAGUAUAGCCACAGGCCCUUUGCAACAUAACUAAAAUAUACCUGCUAG
rnacentral:snRNA from 1 species